rnacentral:lncRNA from 1 species
UAGGAAGGAACCUACUUUGGAGGCAUUAAAGGAAUGGAUCUUGGGAUUUUCACUAUAAGAAGCAGCAUUAUUACUCUGAAGAUCAGGAAAAUCAUCCGGCAGCUACACACUCUAAUUUUUGUCCGAGGUAAGUGAACAUGGCGUUGAACAUUGCUCAUUGUAC